GAACGACUGCUAAGACUGGAUAGGAAGAAAUAAGGCAUCUUAUUUCUUUUAAAAGACCUAGUAAUAGGUAUACUUUAGGAGGGGCUUGCGCCAUAUUAGUUAGUUGGUAGGGUAAUGGCCUUACCAAGACGAUGAUGUGUAACUGGACUGAGAGGUUGAACAGCCACAUUGGGACUGAGACACGGCCCAAACUCCUACGGGAGGCAGCAGUAAGGAAUUUUCGGCAAUGGAGGAAACUCUGACCGAGCAACGCCGCGUGAACGACGAAGUACUUUGGUAUGUAAAGUUCUUUUAUCAAGGAAGAAAAGCAAGUGGCGAACCAUUUGUUUGCCGGUACUUGAUGAAUAAGCCCCGGCUAAUUAUGUGCCAGCAGCCGCGGUAAGACAUAAGGGGCAAGUGUUAUCCGGAAUUAUUGGGCGUAAAGGGUGCGUAGGCGGUCUGGUAAGUCAGUGGUGUAAUGGCAACGCUCAACGUUGUCCGGCUAUUGAAACUGCUAAACUUGAGUUAGAUAGAGGCGAGUGGAAUUCCAUGUGUAGCGGUAAAAUGCGUAAAUAUAUGGAGGAACACCAGAGGCGUAGGCGGCUCGCUGGGUCUUAACUGACGCUGAGGCACGAAAGCGUGGGGAGCAAACAGGAUUAGAUACCCUGGUAGUCCACGCCGUAAACGAUGAGUACUAAGUGUCGGGUUAAACCGGUACUGAAGUUAACACAUUAAGUACUCCGCCUGAGUAGUACGUACGCAAGUAUGAAACUUAAAGGAAUUGACGGGACUCCGCACAAGCGGUGGAUCAUGUUGUUUAAUUCGAAGAUACCCGAAAAACCUUACCAGGUCUUGACAUGUUUUUGCGAAACGGUAGUAAUAUCGUAGAGGUUAUCAGUAACACAGGUGGUGCAUGGUUGUCGUCAGCUCGUGUCGUGAGAUGUUAGGUUAAGUCCUAAAACGAGCGAAACCCUUAUCGUUAGUUGCCAGCACGUUAUGGUGGGGACUUUAACGAGACUGCCAGUGAUAAACUGGAGGAAGGUGAGGAUCACGUCAAAUCAGCAUGCCCCAUAUGACCUGGGCUACAAACGUGAUACAAUGGCUGUCACAAAGGGUAGCUGAAACGUAAGUUCUUGGCCAAUCCCCAAAAACAGUCUCAGUCCGGAUUGAAGUCUGCAACUCGACUUCAUGAAGUUGGAAUCGCUAGUAAUCGCGAAUCAGCAUAUCGCGGUGAAUACGUUCACGGGGUUUGUACACACCGCCCGUCAA
rnacentral:rRNA from 1 species